AUUGGGAUGAAGAACAUAUGGAAUCCUGACUUGAUCUCCUACAAGGAGAGGGAGGAAGCCCAAAAAGGAAAAGUUAAGAUAAUCUAUCAUACUCAAAGGGCGCUCUCCUCUGUUUUAAUUUCAGUGGAAAUUGCCUCUGCUAAUUUGGACAGACAAGUGAUGAAGGACCUCCUGGGGAGUGAACCAAGCUCAAAAGAGAAGCCUUGCCAUGACAGUCCCAGCUUGACCAUGUAGGGACAAGAAAACUCCCCUGCCCAACCUGGAGGAGGAGCUGAUGAUGGAAGCUUGAUGUCUACUCAAGAAUGAGGAAUAAGUUGGUCUUUUCCCCCUCGCUAUUUUUUCUUGGAUUAUAAAACUGUAGCCCACUAUGUUCUCGGGGCAGCACCCUCUCACCCACCCAUUUGUAAGCCUCACAAGCUUCCUAUGCUAAUAAAU